CCACCUGAGGAGCGCUGCAACGGGGUUCCCCGCCAGGCUCAGGUUCUGCAACGGCGCUCGCUGACU
rnacentral:ncRNA from 1 species